AGAUCAACAUUUUCCACCUUGUUCAAUCUGAACAUGAACGUUGACCCGCGUUUCCCCCAGCCUCCGUUAACUGGAGGUCCCAGACUCCUGCAGCCCUUCAGUGGAGCUGUACAGCUCCACACGGCCGAAAACGCCUGGAGACCAUCAGCGAGUAGGCUGGCUGAAGGGAGCCGGGACCGGGGGGAGGAGGCCCCUGAGGAAGCCUGUUCACAGGUCCUGUUCAGGAAAGUUGACCCCUGAGGUGUUCCCACUCAUGGCGAAACAGGUCAGUGAACUGAACAUCGAUACGGAGGAGCGCCUGUGGGGAAUCGCCUCCAUCAUUUUGAGAAGGCCAUCGCCGAGGUGAAGUUCUGCAGCAUUUAUGCCCAGCUGUGCUACCGUCUCAGGGAGAUAAAUGUGCCAUCCAGUGACAGCCCAGCCAUUUUAAACUUCCGUUUGGUGCUGCUCAAGCUCUGCCAGCUGGAGUUUGAAAAGCUGGAAUUGGCGACUACAAUGGGGAGUGAAGUUAAUGGCCACCGCAAUUGGCAACAUGCAAUUUUUUGGUGAGCUCUUCAAAUUCAAAAUGAUGAAAGCAAAAGUUAUACACAGCUGCGUCACAAAGCUCCUUUCCAACCAAAGCGGGGAGGCACUGGAAUGCCUGCCUUCUUACAACUGUUGGCGAGAACCUGGACAGUGAUAAGGACCUCAUGGAUACUUCCACACUGUCAAGAACAUCAUCAAGGGGGGAGGACAUCAUCACGGAUCAGAUUUCUUUUGCAGGAUGUGCUGGAACUCAGUAGGGUACUGCCUAGUUGUCUGUGAUUCCGCAUCCUCUUUCUCUCGAAAUAAAGGAAAAGGAGCUUCAUUGUCCAAUUCAAACUCCCUAGAAAACUUACUUCCCAUUUAAUGAAAAAUGAGGCCACAGAAAGAUGUGAAAGACAAAUGCUGUCCUCCUUUGUGUCAAUAUCCAUCCCUACUGAAUAACUGAAAAUUUGUCCCACUACACCAGAAUGACUGGAUCCGUAGGAGAUGUGAGGAUGGACCGAAGACCAUUGAGCAGGUUCACAGGCAGGCUGACAUGGAGAAACAGCGAGAGAGGAGCCUCGUGCAACAGACUCAUCCUCAGGGGGACAACUGGCGCCAGACUCAUCCUCAGAGGGACAACUGGCGGCAGACUCAUCCUCAGAGGGAUAACUGGCACCAUACUCAUCCUCAGAGGGACAACUGGCACCAGACUCAUCCUCAGAGGGACAACUGGCGCCACAGGGGCAAAGAUCUCCGGGUCCAAGUAAAGCCACGCCCAGGCUGGAGCCGCAGCCGGGAGGCAACCGGGACCCAGGAGCUGUACAAGAGCAUGCACAGUAUCCUGGAUAAGCUCACCCACAAGAUUUUUGGCCACAUUAUGAAGCAGGUGGACAAGCUCCACAUGGACACAGAGGAGCGUCUUCGGGGCAUUGCAACCAUCCUUUUUAAGAAGGCCAUCUCUGAGCCAGGAUUUUCCACCACAGGUGCCAAGAUCUGUCAUUGUCUGAGGGAGGUGAGUAUGUGCAUCUGUCCUUUCUCAUUAUUUCAGAAAUCACUACCCGUUCAAGACACAAGUAUGGGCUUCAAAAACAGUGGAAGGAGAAGCUAAAGAGCCACAUACAUUCAGUGACUUUCCUUUGUGUGUUUAUCUGUGCACAGCCAUCCUCUAAACAUGCACCUUCUCCACACGACUACCUGGGCACAAAUAACACAAGGAGUUUUAGAUAGUAUUUCA